GCGCUGUUCUUGUCACAUGACCACGCUGCCGUUUAAUCCGCUGUGUCUCCGCUGCGGCUCUGAUGACCUGCUCAUCUCUUCACAGAGCGCUGAUGUGAUGAACAGAUGAAGUGAUGAAGUGAUGAAGUGAUGAUGUGAUGAAGUGAUGAUGUGAUGAAGUGAUGAAGUGAUGAAGUGAUGAUGUGAUGAAGUGAUGAAGUGUUGAUGUGAUGAAGUGAUGAAGUGAUGAUGUGAUGAUGUGAUGAAGUGAUGAUGUGAUGAUGUGAUGAAGUGAUGAUGUGAUGAUGUGAUGAAGUGAUGAUGUGAUGAAGUGAUGAAGUGAUGAUGUGAUGAUGUGAUGAAGUCAUGAAGUGAUGAUGUGAUGAACAGAUGAAGUGAUGAAGUGAUGAUGUGAUGAAGUGAUGAUGUGAUGAAGUGAUGAUGAAGUGAUGAUGUGAUGAAGUGAUGAUGUGAUGAAGUGAUGAUGAAGUGAUGAUGAAAUGAUGAUGUGAUGAAGUGAUGAAGUGAUGAUGUGAUGAAGUCAUGAAGUGAUGAAGUGAUGAUGUGAUGAAGUGAUGAAGUGAUGAUGUGAUGAUGUGAUGAAGUGAUGAAGUGAUGAUGUGAUGAAGUCAUGAAGUGAUGAUGUGAUGAUGUGAUGAAGUGAUGAAGUGAUGAUGUGAUGAUGUGAUGAAGUGAUGAAGUGAUGAUGUGAUGAAGUGAUGAUGUGAUGAAGUGAUGAAGUGAUGAUGUGAUGAUGUGAUGAAGUCAUGAAGUGAUGAAGUGAUGAUGUGAUGAAGUGAUGAAGUGAUGAUGUGAUGAAGUGAUGAUGUGAUGAAGUGAUGAAGUGAUGAAGUGAUGAUGUGAUGAAGUGAUGAAGUGAUGAAGUGAUGAAGUGAUGAAGUGAUGAAGUGAUGAAGUGAUGAAGUGAUGAUGUGAUGAAGUGAUGAUGUGAUGAAGUGAUGAUGUGAUGAAGUGAUGAAGUGAUGAAGUGAUGAUGUGAUGAAGUGAUGAAGUGAUGAUGUGAUGAAGUGAUGAAGUGAUGAUGUGAUGAAGUGAUGAAGUGAUGAUGUGAUGAAGUGAUGAAGUGAUGAAGUGAUGAUGUGAUGAUGUGAUGAAGUGAUGAUGUGAUGAAGUCAUGAAGUGAUGAAGUGAUGAUGUGAUGAAGUGAUGAAGUGAUGAUGUGAUGAUGUGAUGAAGUGAUGAUGUGAUGAAGUGAUGAAGUGAUGAUGUGAUGAAGUGAUGAAGUGAUGAUGUGAUGAAGUGAUGAUGUGAUGAUGUGAUGAAGUGAUGAUGUGAUGAUGUGAUGAAGUGAUGAUGUGAUGAAGUGAUGAAGUGAUGAUGUGAUGAUGUGAUGAAGUCAUGAAGUGAUGAUGUGAUGAACAGAUGAAGUGAUGAAGUGAUGAUGUGAUGAAGUGAUGAUGUGAUGAAGUGAUGAUGUGAUGAAGUGAUGAAGUGAUGAUGUGAUGAAGUGAUGAUGAAGUGAUGAAGUGAUGAUGUGAUGAAGUGAUGAAGUGAUGAUGUGAUGAUGUGAUGAAGUGAUGAAGUGAUGAUGUGAUGAAGUCAUGAAGUGAUGAAGUGAUGAUGUGAUGAUGUGAUGAUGUGAUGAAGUGAUGAAGUGAUGAUGUGAUGAAGUCAUGAAGUGAUGAUGUGAUGAAGUGAUGAAGUGAUGAUGUGAUGAUGUGAUGAAGUGAUGAUGUGAUGAAGUGAUGAGGUGAUGAGGUGAUGAAGUGAUGAAGUGAUGAUGUUAUGAAGUGAUGAUGUGAUGAUGUGAUGAAGUGAUGAAGUGAUGAUGUGAUGAAGUGAUGAAGUGAUGAUGUGAUGAAGUGAUGAUGUGAUGAAGUGAUGAUGUGAUGAAGUCAUGAAGUGAUGAAGUGAUGAUGUGAUGAAGUGAUGAAGUGAUGAUGUGAUGAAGUGAUGAUGUUGUGAUGAAGUGAUGAUGUGAUGAAGUGAGGAAGUGAUGAUGUGAUGAAGUGAUGAUGUGAUGAAGUCAUGAAGUGAUGAUGUGAUGAUGUGAUGAAGUGAUGAUGUGAUGAUGUGAUGAUGUGAUGAAGUGAUGAUGUGAUGAAGUCAUGAAGUGAUGAAGUGAUGACCUGAUGACGUGAUGAAGUGAUGAUGUGAUGAAGUGAUGAAGUGAUGAUGUGAUGAAGUGAUGAAGUGAUGAAGUGAUGAUGUGAUGAAGUGAUGAAGUGAUGAAGUGAUGAUGUGAUGAAGUGAUGAUGUGAUGACCUGAUGACGUGAUGAAGUGAUGAUGUGAUGAAGUGAUGAAGUGAUGACCUGAUGACGUGAUGAAGUGAUGAUGUGAUGAACAGAUGAAGUGAUGAUGUGAUGAAGUGAUGAAGUGAUGAUGUGAUGAAGUGAUGAUGUGAUGAAGUCAUGAAGUGAUGAUGUGAUGAAGUGAUGAAGUGAUGAAGUGAUGAAGUGAUGAUGUGAUGAAGUGAUGAAGUGAUGAUGUGAUGAAGUGAUGAUGUGAUGAAGUCAUGAAGUGAUGAAGUGAUGACCUGAUGACGUGAUGAAGUGAUGAUGUGAUGAAGUGAUGAAGUGAUGAUGUGAUGAAGUGAUGAAGUGAUGAAGUGAUGAUGGCUCUGGAGGUCCAGCGCUGUUUGAUGGUGAAUGUCUUUCAUUACUGUAAUCUUUAUUGUUUACAAAAUCAAAGCCUGUAGAUUCACUUUACUGAAACUGUGAACAGUGUGUGUGUGUGUGUGUGUGUGUGUGUUUAGAUGCUGUUCUUCCCUCUCUCUCUCACGAACACACCUGAAUGUACACUAACAAUCAUGUGCACAGAUGUUUUUAAUAAAAUUACCAUUAAAUGAUCAUAAUUCUAUUGUUAUGAAAGAAGUGAUUUCUUAUUAGUCAAGUCACCUUUAUUUAUAUAGCACUUUAAACAAAAUACAUUGCGUCAAAGCAACUGUGUGUGUGUGAGUGUGUGUGUGUGUGUGAGUGUGUGUGUGUGGGGGGGCAUGUUUUUGUGACAUAUCAGGACACAACUCUGUAUAAUGACAUGGGUAUGACACAGGUAUUACAAGGAGAGGGUGACUUAUGAGGACAUAACCCAUGUCCCCAUUUUUCAAAACACUUAUAAAUCAUACAGAAUGAGUUUUUUUGAGAAAGUAAAAAUGCACAAAUUUUCCUGUGAGGGUUAGGGUUAGGUGUAGGGUUGGUGUAGGGCGAUAGAAUAUACAGUUUGUACAGUAUA
ensembl:lncRNA